GGAAACCCCACACACCCCAACAACCCCACAAUUCUCAAAAUAUGCCCUGUAGGCAAGAACAACACCAGACCCACUCCCAACACCACUGGCCAGCAUAUCGCUUAGUUCAGGACUUUAGAGCCCUGAAUAGUUUAAUUGUGCCCAUUUCACCCAUUGUCCCUGAUGUGACAUCCCUCAUUACAGCCAUUCCACAUGAUGCCACUUGCUUCACUGUCAUUGAUUUAAGUAAUGCAUUUUUUUCUAUACCUAUUGAUCAAGAGACACAGCUACUUAUGGUUUUUACUUUUUGAAGGCUGUCAGUUUACCUGGACACGCUUACCCAAGGCUAUGUGGAUUCCCCAGCUGUUUAUUCGUUGGUACUCCAACAUACUCUAAAAAAACAUGGACCACCGGUCAUGGUUCCGUACUUUUUGCAAAAUGUUGAUGAUUUGUUGUUAUGUAGCCCUAGAUGUGAGGCAAGCACUGUGGAUACUGUCAGCAACUGUGGGUCACAAGGUUGUUAAACACAAAAUGCAAUUGUGUAAAUCAAAGGUUGAAUACUUAGGUUUUGUUCUGGCUUCAGGCACCAGACAAUUGAGUCCAAAACGUAUUGAGGUCAUUCAGAGGAUUCCUACACCCACUACUCGGAAGGAGUUGCUCACCUUCCUCGGCAUGAUUAAUUACUGCCACCAAUGGAUCCCUGAAUGCUCCCAUUAUGACUCAAUCCUAAGGGAGGCUGUACGUUCUGACAACCCUGAAAAUGUCUGCUGGUCACCAGACAUGCUAGCUGCAUAUAUUGCCCUUACAGUUGUUAUUGUGCAAGCCCAGGCUUUAGGACUACCUGUGUAUUGUAAACCAUUUCAUUUGUAUGCUUGGGACAAUUGUAAAACCAUGGCCGCAGUCUGUGUACAAGAGCAAGGAGGCGGUAUGCGUCCCAUAGCAUUCUUUUCCAAAGUAGUUCGAGCUCCGGUACAGGGUAUGCCGGCGUGUCUCAGAGCAUUGAUAGCAUGUGCAAUGGCUGUUGAAACUGCUACUACUAUCACACUAGGGCAUCCUACAAUACUUCAUGCCAGUCACCAGGUCACUCAGCUGACAAAUCUCACCACACAACACAUGACAGCCCAGCGCUUCAGUGGUUAUGAGAUUCUUUUUUUUAAAUACCCAGAAUCUGUCUUUUGGAUUAAACAAGGUUUAGAGAAAGAUCAAAAUGAUCUGUUCUCUAAAGAGGGGAGAAUAGGCAUACUUGAAGAAUAGGCAUACUUGAAGCAAGCUGAUUUAUUUUCAUCAGUCAGGCACAUAGCAAGCACCAUUCAAUUCUUCAUGAAUUCAUUUUAUAUUAGGAAUCUCAGGC